GCAUCGAUGAAGAACGCAGCCAGUUGCGAUAAGUAGUGUGAAUUGCAGAAUUCAGUGAAUCAUCGAAUCUUUGAACGCAAAUUGCGCUUUCUGGAUAUCCAGGGAGCAUGCCUGUCUGAGCGUCGUUUAAUAAUCUACGCAUCACGGAGGGAGCUCAAGCGAAUAUUCUUUGUUUGGCUCUCGAUGUAACUGAACCUAGUGGUGUGCACUGUGCAUUGCUUGGAAGACUCAACUUGCUUCUGUCCUUCUUCAGCAGUGCCGAUGUCGCAAUACACAAGUGUUCAAUCUCUGGGAUUUCGCCUGGAAACUACUAUAUUUUGACCUCAGAUCAGACAAGACUACCCGCUGAAUUUAAGCAUAUCAAUAAGCGGAGG
rnacentral:rRNA from 1 species